CAGGAGCUGAAGGAGGAGGAGAAAUGCCUGGUCAUUACUGUCCACCGAGAAAUUGGGACUGGCUGCUCUGAAAAGCAAGCCUCCCUAAAUGUCUUACUGUGUGCAUCGGCUCAUUGUUAAAGCUGUGGAAGAGAAGGCAUCCCAGUGCCUCACCCUUCUCCAGCCCUGCCUCGUCCCGCUCACAGACACCAGAGAGUCCAGAAAAGAAACUAAGAGAAGAGGAGCUUUCUUUUUUUUUUUUAAGGAAACUACUCCCGAUUCAUGAAUCAGAGAAGAGGACCUUUCUAAUGAUUCCGGGUACUCAGCUCCCUUGGUAAGAGACAAGGAGUCCCAGGGAGAACAGGUUGCAGAUACAACCAUAUGCAGGGAGCAGAACUCCUGGGAUUCUCCAGUGACACCCAGCAGCUCCCGGCUGCGCAGACGCAAGUUUCCCCUGGUGCCCUCCAGGUGAGGGAUCCCACUGAUCUUAGUAUGGUCUGUCCACCCGCCCCUGCCCACCCCAGCCUGGCUCCCCUGCGUCUCAGAAAUGGAAGGGUCAGUACAGGUUUCUUUCAUUUCCAUCUGACUGGCUUGGCUUCUCCUUUUUCUCUUGGUAGCCUCCAGCUCCCAUGCUUGGCUACUCAAUCACGACCAAAGAUUGUGACCGGGAGAAGCAAGUUAUGUUACAAUGGCUAAACAGGGUCUUGGAGGAUAAGACGGAAACUGCCUCGAACUCUGACAGUGUGAACCCACCUGCCACUCCACCUUCUUCUAAUCUCACCCUGCCUGCUGCUGGGACUGCUGCUUCCUCAGCCUCCCUCCCAGCCCUAAGUACUAACCUGCUGCUGGGGAGCUUGAAAAAGAAGCUGAACCCCCUGGGCCUACCAUCUUUCCCAGUCAGACUACUUCAGGCAAUAGCACGAAUGCCCCAUUGUUCCCCGGCCAGGCCAGUGUCAGUGUCCACUCAGCAGCGGCUUGGGGGACGACCACCAGCACAGCCACAGACUCUGCCUGGAAG